rnacentral:rRNA from 1 species
AUUGAACGCUGGCGGCAUGCCUUACACAUGCAAGUCGAACGGUAACGCGGGGCAACCUGGCGACGAGUGGCGAACGGGUGAGUAAUGCAUCGGAACGUGCCCAGUAGUGGGGGAUAGCCCGGCGAAAGCCGGAUUAAUACCGCAUACGACCUACGGGUGAAAGCGGGGGAUCGCAAGACCUCGCGCUAUUGGAGCGGCCGAUGUCAGAUUAGGUAGUUGGUGGGGUAAAGGCCUACCAAGCCUACGAUCUGUAGCUGGUCUGAGAGGACGACCAGCCACACUGGGACUGAGACACGGCCCAGACUCCUACGGGAGGCAGCAGUGGGGAAUUUUGGACAAUGGGGGCAACCCUGAUCCAGCCAUGCCGCGUGCGGGAAGAAGGCCUUCGGGUUGUAAACCGCUUUUGUCAGGGAAGAAAUCCUCUGGGUUAAUACCUCGGGGGGAUGACGGUACCUGAAGAAUAAGCACCGGCUAACUACGUGCCAGCAGCCGCGGUAAUACGUAGGGUGCAAGCGUUAAUCGGAAUUACUGGGCGUAAAGCGUGCGCAGGCGGUCUUGUAAGACAGAGGUGAAAUCCCCGGGCUCAACCUGGGAACUGCCUUUGUGACUGCAAGGCUUGAGUGCGGCAGAGGGGGAUGGAAUUCCGCGUGUAGCAGUGAAAUGCGUAGAUAUGCGGAGGAACACCGAUGGCGAAGGCAAUCCCCUGGGCCUGCACUGACGCUCAUGCACGAAAGCGUGGGGAGCAAACA